UGGCGAAAUAACGCGAAAGUCAUAGGCAAAAGAAUUAAAUCGACCUGACAAACGUAUAAGAAAAGUCCAAUGAAUACUUCGACCCCUUUCUGCGCGUAUAAUACGCUCCUCGACGAUAAUAAUCUCUGAACCGAGGCACAGAAUGACCGAUCCAGAGACCACCCAGUUUGACUGUGAGUAGAAGACGGAUCGAGAUCGACGCUGAUUGAACUCAAUUAACGCGUUAACGCGCGACCAACGAACAGAUCAAAGGGACAACGGACCGCGAACUCGAAGGGAACUGGAAAUGGGCCGAUCGAAACGGGACAUGCAGUAGUCCUGGGGGAUGGGAGGGGUUGCUAGGUACCGGUAAGGCUAGCAUAUACGAGUACAGAACGUGGUAGUGCACCUGACCCAUAUAGCGACGCGGUAUUGAUCGACCUAAUUCUGUAAAGCCGGUCGCCUCCCCGCCCGCAGAGAUUGCCGCCCGAAAUUACGUAAGCUAACCUACUGACUCACUGCACCCGUUGCCGCAGCAGAAACUUUCAGUUGUUACGCCCGUGUCUUUCGACUACCAAACUCUAACACACCCUCUUUGCUAUUCUCAAGUUUGGGUCACAUUCGAUGGAAAAUCGACGAGUCAUCGAGAAGCACGUGUGUAAGGCGGAAAAGAAUGGGAGAAUUUUUAGGCAAUGUUGGAGAAUUUCGGGGUUUCUGCUAUACAAUGAGGUUGUCGAGGGGAAUCGAACGUCUCUGAUACGCCCUGUUCGUUGAAUCUCUCGAAAGAUUAAAGAAUGAUGGAAUAGUCUCUUCCUACGUAUCAUUCCCGUGUUUAACAAAAUAAAUACUUUUGAUAAUAAGGAACGUCGACAGGGAUCGAGACUUUAAAGGUUGGCGACGAUUUCAUUCGCUUUUAUUGUCAGAAGCUAUAAAUUCUGCUACGUGGGUGCAAAGAAAAUAGAUACACCGUUCGGUAUAAUUAGAUGAUCAGCUGGUCGAAGCAUCCAUUGCUUCGAACAUUCCAGCACGCUAACCCACCCAUUACAAUUUAUCACUACUAGUACUACUAUCUCCAUUCAUUCGUUCAAGAAGACAAUUACAAUCGCGACGCGGGCGAACACUUUUCCAUAAUGUCGUCGGUAUGACAUUAAAGAAUCGUACUAGUUAAGGAUUACAAACGUAGCGAACUAGUUCAUGUGCUUGGUAAAGUCACUUGCUUCCGUUGUAUAGAAAUGUCACCGUAUUAAAUCGUUUCAAUCACUUGUACACGAAAUACUCCAUACGAAUAGAGUAAAUUCCCGAAAAGUUGACUUGAAACACUUUCAACGGCGGAAUAACUUAGCUAAGGGGGAGAACGCUGUGGCGGGCAAUCAGGAAACCAUAAAAUCUGCUAAGUGAAGUAUUCAUUGGCGAACGUUCACUAGGAAGCAGACAACGUGCAUAAGCGUCGAAUAAUUUAAUCUCGUUUGCGCUAAAGACCGCGAUUGCGGGCGAACCGUGGCCGUCGAACGAGAAUCAGCGCGAACGGAUUGCCUUCCGAGCGCGAGAUCGCGAAGUUCAUGAAUUAAAAGCCGGGCAAUCGAUAGCCGUGGAAUAAUUGAAUCUCAUUGUACGCCGAAGACGAUGAUAAUCGCCGCGAAUACAGAACGAUCCAUCGUGAAAAAAAGAUCGAGUAUCUGUAUUACGUUUUUAAUAAGCCUGAACGCGUUAGUGAUGGCUUCACAGUGAAAAAAAAGCAGCUACCAUUUAUCCUCGAGUAUAAUUAAAACGGAGCUUCGAGCGGUAUUUGUAAUUUGUAUCUAUGUCUUAAUCUGCCAUAAAUUUUUUUAUUUAUUUCUGCUAAUUUUUUAAUUCUUCUUCUCGUGUUGGUUUACCAAUGUUUCUUUCGGUAUUCGUUACUUCCUAUUCUCUUUCGCUACUAACGUUACUUUAAGAAAAGAACGUAGCGAACGAAUAUUAGCUUUUAAAAAAAUGUGAAUAGCUGAACACAGAACGGUCCAUCGAAAAGAUCAACAUCUCCAUUUUCAUCAUAAAAAUCACAAUUUAUCCCUGUCACGUUGUUAUUCCCCCUCCUACAUCGUGCUGUCAGAACAGGAAAUUAAAAACCGCGUGUGUGCGCUAAACAAAUGUAAAAGCGAACUAGAAAUAAAAUUUCAACUGCGGCGAUAGAAAAUUCCGCGAAAUUCGAUCGAAACUCGACAUUUACAGAAAAAUCACGAUCUAUUCGUACGUGCCACUAUGAUUCCUCCGUUUCGACGUUUCCCUUAACAGAAAAUUCUUCAACUUCUAUUCGCCAACCAGAAAAUAAAAUGUGAAAAGGAAACCCAAACUACGCGAAACUAAAAUUAAAGCUUCGACGAUCACCUGCAAACCACGUGACCAACGAAAGUAUAAUAAGUAGUUGCCAUUGGAAGAGAAUCGCUUGCAGUUUCGUUACGAGAGAAGAGCAUGAUCUUGCUCAAUUUACGAACGUCGAGUUGCAGUUGCAAUUGCGCUACAGAGUAGCAGAAUGCCCUCGCGUGCAUGAUUGCGUGUGAAAGGCCAAACAGGGCCAUCGUUCGUUCUACGAAACGAGGCUAGACGGUGAAAGAAGAAGAAGAAGAAGAAGAAGAAGAAGAAGAAGGAGAAGAAGAAAAAGAAGAAGCUUCGGAUGAGUCGGGUUAUUCGUCUUCCAUGAGCAAUCUUCGUUGUAAUUCGAAAAUUUUAUCGAUGAGAAGCCAUGCAUCAUAAAGUUGCUUCUUGUUAGGAAUAGUUCGAGUGAAAGGAAUUUUCGAGGAUGACGUUAUUGUGAACGGAGAAGGGUAGGUCGGUCUACGGGGAAUUUUAAUUCAGUCACGGAAUAUUUUCGUUGCAUUCUACUACACUUUCUCGAUGAAAGAAACGAUUAACAGGAAUUGAUCUGUUUCGAAGUUUAUAAAUGCGAUUACGACAAUGGAAUUUUUCAAAAUUAUCCUCGUUUGUAAAGAAAUAUCAAGAAACGCUAGCACAGGAGGAAAAUAUCGGGUAUUUGACCGAAGAUAGAAUGUCGGAAGAGUAUGGAAAAUUCCACCUAAAUCGAAGACCUAAUAACCUAAUAACCUAAUAACCUCGUAACCUCUGCUAGUAGUUAUCCCUUUGACCCAUUAAGUUCAUGUACAUUCUCAUAAAUCGUUCUCUCUAAACUUGAAUACAAUAUCACAAUCUAUAAAACGACGACAGUUAGCUUGGCGAAAUUGUUAGUUCGUCGUCUAUCGACGACGGCCGUGUUUAGAGAAUUAAGCAAAAAGCUUCGAUCGACUAGAAACACCAUCGCUAUGUUGAUGCGUCAGGCCCAAUGUCUUGUACGCACGUCGAACAGCGAGCAGCAAAACAAAAGCAACGAGAAUCAGCUCGAAGGAGCCCGGUUGGUUCAGCCUCGAGAGGCCAGUCACCGGUGAUGAAUUUCGCGCGAGAUCCUUGGCCGCGACGCAAGGUCUCGUUAAAGCCGGUAGCCGAGGGGCCCCGCGUGCGCUUUCGUCAUCGAUACACCAUCGAGACUGGAAAGGCAUUCGAUUUCUCUCGCGAGAGAGGCCGUGGUGUGUGUGACCUCUCCUUUCACGUGGGGCAGGUCGUGCCAGGGCCAGGUGCGACAACCUCGGCCGAAAACACCGACGCAGGCCGUCUACCUGCGUGGCUUCGCCCUCAGCUACCGGACGUUGCACCUUCACCCCUCUUCCCUUCUCGGUAUCCCUCCUCUGGUCGAAGUCGUCCUUUGUGAGGAGGAUGUUCGAGGCCUCGGUCGUGCACGACUUCGUCCAAUGGGGGGAAGAAAAAAAGGUAAAAGAAGGAAAAGUCGACACCGAGGUCGUUGGCAUCGUGAAACUGCCGUUCUACCCUUCUUGCUGAGGGGAGACGAUUAUGGCGGUGAGGAGAGAGAAAGAGAGAGAGACAGAGAGAAAGAGACAGACACACAGACAAGCAGACAGACAAACAGAGCGAGAAGGAGAAACUGCGCGGCCGAAAAAGAUGAGAGAUCUCUAGACACGGGUGGGUGGAAAGAUGCGAGUUUUGAAACUUCUCGACGAGAGGCUAGAUUUUGGGGGAAUACGUCGUUUCCUAUUUUUUUGAUUGGAUACGGUUGACGGAUUCUUACGAGGAUGUUAAUAGGAUUUGAUGCGAUAACGACCUGCGCUGUGACAGACAGUUCAAACUCGGGCUGCUGUUGUCAUUUGAAAGCGCGAUAGGUGUACGAGUAUUGGCUUGUUUUUAUGAUUCGAAGAUGACGGUUGCGUCGUGGAAAAAACAAAUACCGUUGUUGUUAAUAUCAUGUUAUCGAAAUAUACCGCGUGCAAAUUAUUAUGAUGAAAGUUGUUUGAAGGCGAAAAUGAAACGAAGUAUGGAAUGUGGAACGUCAAAGCCUACGUGCAUCACGGCAGGAACUCAAUCAGUCAACCAUUUCCGGGAUAUCGAUCAAAUACAAGAGGACCAUGAGACGUUUCCGCAACAUUGUACCGAGCACACGUACAUGCAUCGUUCUUUAUUAUAAAAUAGAAUACCGCAAAUAAAUUACCAUGAGGGAAGACGACCGCCGCAACGAUAUACAAACUCUUCUUACCUUGGAGCAUGCGUCGCGUCGUGAAAUUGCACGGGCAAGGAAACAAUUCAACGUUCAUUAUUCAGUCUUUAAAAGUCUUGCCGGACAGAUAUAUCCCCCUACGAAGUGCAGUCAAAGAGGUUUCAACGAACUAAGUUGUCUCAUGGCGGUCGUACCACGCCAUAAAAAUGAAAUUACGGUUUUGUAACGCUACAACGCGACUUGUUAUUUCACAGUUCUCGGUCCUAAAUCAUAAAAUCUACCGCUACACUUCUAACUAAGUAACUGUACAGUUUCGGCUACCUUCGUAUACGGCACGAGACACCUGGAAGGAUGCGCGGUUUAAUACCCUUGAGUCUCUUAAGGGUCGGAAAACAUUGUUAAAAAGAAUUUGCUUUAUGUCGUCGUAUAUUGUUUUUGGUAGCUUUCCUUCAUGAAGUCAUAUAUUUAUUUUAUUUCCAUUUUUAUGGGGGCAUAAAAACUUAAGUCUAGGUUCAUCGGUGACCUAUAACAGCAGCCAGAAAUAAAGUUUUCAUUAGCUUGGUAUAAAUACUCGCUGAUUUACCGGUUGGCAAGGGACGCGAAGGAAAGUAACAUUUUCAAGAAUUUGUCACGCUUGCUAUUUGCUUACGACGAAAUAAUCCGAACUCUCUCUUUAAGAUUCCUAAGCACGUUUCUAAAUGGAUCUAAGAAAUUUAAUCGAACCAUCGAAAUAUCCGAAGAUAUCUGGCUGGUUAACAUCAGUUCCUAAAAAUCUUCAUUUAAAAAGCGUCUAUUUGACAGAAACAAAAUCUCACUCACCACACUAAAGAAAUAAAUCAAUCAAAUUCGAAGAAGGUAUCCCACUGGGAGUAGCCAUCCACAUGUUAUAUUAUUAUACCAUUAAGCUAUAAUAUUUUACCAAAUGUCCUACUGAAUAAAUUGUAAAAUGUAAAUAAAUAAGUAAAAAAAAAAGAAACAAAAUUUUCACCAAUGUCAGCCCCGUGUCAAGACGAAACCUGUGAAACGCUGGAAUUUUUUAAAUCAUCGUUCGAUCCGCCGAGUCAUCGACCGCGUAACUUCUCGAAAUCAUUGAACAGGAAAAUCCUACAACUGACGAGUUGUUCGAGUUCUCGAAAUCAUCAGACGAACGAACCUAAAAACAGGACAACAUACCCUGCUAGACAAAAUCCCCGCCCCUCGUAAAGGUCAAAGCUCUCGCCCGCCUCCGUAGAAAUUCCGCGCUCGUCGAUCCCACGAAACGCGUUCCCCUCUGGCCAAAUCGCGACGGUUGGAUCGGAUUCCGGGACGUUUCACGAGGGUGAGAGCCGAAAGCACUUGGACGACUGCGUGCGGUGGAAAGGCGAGGGACAGGUGUCCGGCGAGGGUGCGUUCACGGUCUAACGAUUGGCAACCAGACGCCUUUUAACGCUCCCCUGGUGCAACGUGUGGGUGCGCGCAGCCUUUUUCGAACUAGCCGGAGAGAUACCUUCGAUUUUUAGGCGGAACACGCACACACAGAUCGAAUAUGGGGACAUGCACGCUCGUAUACAGGGUGAGGCACGCAAAGCACGACGAUAGAAUCUUUCAGAGAAUAUUAAAAACGCCGGAAAGUGUUAUUAGACGAGGUUGAAACCUAUUAGGCGAUUGAUCGUUGUUUAAAGUUUAUUCUCAAGAACGUGAAUGCACGAUAUAAAAAAUUGUUCGCUAGUAAAGCCGAGGUGUUUUACGAAGCCUGAUAUUUCUACGCUAUGCAAAAACAUUCGGAAGAUUUUUAAAUCGCUGAUUCUUUCGCGAACCUUUUUGUACAGUUUUAAAUGUGCAUAAGCGUAAUGUAUUAAGUUGCCGCAAAAGUUUCUUUCGUUUCAUAAGUGAAAUAAUAGAUGCACAACAUUUUUUAUUUUAUAUUCUUUCAUGGAUUUAUGUACGAUCCAUUUUGUAAUAAUAGAAUAAACCGGAUCUAACGUAGUUCAAUAAAAUAAUAUAAAACAAAAAAUGUUCUGCAUCUACUACUUCCUUAUAAAACGAAAUCAACUUUUGGGACAACCUAAUAUAUUCUAAACGUAAUUGAACGACUACAAUUUCUCUGAAAUAUUAACAUAAUCAAAAAUAUACGAAGAACAUGUGAAUUGAACGUAUACAUGUAUUUUUUGAUUGCUUUUUUCUCACCUGUAUUCUUGAAUGAUUUUGAAUAUUUCAUUGAAUUCGUUCGCAUACACAUUCACGCGGUUUCUAGUAUGGUUGUAGCUAUGUAUUUUCGUGAUCAAUUUUUUAGGAGGACAUAAUCUAACAUACAAACACUCACCACACUAAAGAAAUAAAUCAAUCAAAUUCGAAGAUGGUAUCCCAUUGGGGAUAGCCAUCCACAUGUUAUAUUAUUAUGCCACUAAGCUAUAAUAUUUUACCAAAUGUCCUACUGGACAAAUUGUAAAAUGUAAAUAAAUAAAUAAAUAAAUAAAUAAAAAAAAAAUUUUAGGACAGCGAUCUUGAAAUCUUCUUCACCCUAAAAAAUUGUUCCCUUAAAGAACUUUAACUUCGUUUGCCGAUAUUUUUCCACGUUACCGAUACCGCCAAAAAUGUCUAACCGUUGCUCUUUGCACGACUCACCCUGUAUAUACGUAUGUAUGGGUGUGGUAUGUGUCUACGUGUGCGUGCACGCAGGCUCACACGAACCCACGCUAAUCUAGCGUGGAAGGGUCCGAACGAACAUCCAGAAUUUUUCGAAGGGAAAAUUUCGCGUUCGGUUACGACAAUAGACGUAUAUCGUCUUCACGAUCUUCUCGCGGUCACGUUGCAAUUUUCGUUUCUUUGCUUUAAAAGCAAUUUUUCGAAACUUCUUAAUGAUCGUGGAUCACUUUGUACUUUUACGUCCAAAAAUACCAAUGAUGCUUGAAG